rnacentral:piRNA from 1 species
UGAUCAAGCUGACAAACUUUAUUUUUCCCA